rnacentral:lncRNA from 1 species
AUGAAAAGUGAUGCAAAUGAUGCUAAUGGUUACAACAGGAUUCAUUUGAAGACCGAUAAUUCCCGUAAAUUUCAUAGCGUCGCGGAGGACGUCAAUGUUUUAAAUCAUUCCUCAAGUUCUGAUUGUGUGUUUAAUAAAACUUUGAUAAGCAUUGUUUCAGAGGGGAACAAGGUAUACGAAGAUCACAAUAAUAUGAAACGUGCCACAGAAAAUGUGCUUUCAGGCGAUUUGGAAGAUCACGUUUUAGAAGAUGUGUCAGUUGAUAUUGGAUUGGUUCAGGAGGAGCAAUAUUUUGAUAAACCAACAGUAGGUUACGAAGAUCAAAGAGCCUCGUUCUCAAUUUGCGACGACUUGGGAAAAAUUGGUCCCGUGUCGAAGGAUGAACUUGACCUUGUUUACGAGACGAGUAAUGAAACAGGUAAACAUGGUCGGGAAAAAUUCAACAGAGGCGAUCGCGAUGUUUACAAACGGAUGGAAGUGAGCGAGAAACCAGUUGGCUAACCUGUAGACGGAGCGGUGACGUGGCAAGAAUCGGGGGAGUCUCCAAGAGGAAGUGCUCGAGCGGUGUGUCCUGCGUUUUCCACGAUCUUCAUCCACCUUGGUUGGUGAUAGGAAACCUCUGGUGCGACGAAAGUUGUUGCCGGCUACGUAUCAUGGUUGAGGGGGGCCGCAGUGUUGCUGCUAUGGUUCCAUGUCGUCGCUUUAAACAUUGGCACGUACGUCAUCACUGGCGGACUAGACCGUCUGCUCUUAGUACUCCAGCACUCUGGACCAGCUAAUGUUUUCCUGGAUCAAACUCAUGUUUCACGUCUCGGUGCAGGAGCUUUACACUUGGGUUCAAGAAGGCGUCGGCAACCGGAUCAACUUCAUUGGUUUCAAGGCCACGGAGAUUUCUUCCCCCAAGUAUGCGCUACAUGGUCGACGACGAAGGGACACGGUGCUCUGUUUUUUUCUCCGUUGACGGAGGUGACUCACACGACCACGGGUCUUUUCCGCGGCCAUUCAUGGAUACAGCCUGGCUCGUCGCUUUGGACAUACAGGAACCGGACGGCGGUGAUCGGCACUCCUCUGCAGGACUCUCGGACGAUUCGCGCGGCUACACGAGGAUGGGACGCAGGGAAGCACACUCAACAAACAGGAUUCGGACGGCAGCAUCGGCAGUUUUAUUGUACAUUUUUAAUAAUUGCUAAAAUUUUUAUGGGAAGGGAGAAGACUGAUUUCAGCCAGGUGGUCCUCGAGACGCUUAUCCCUGAUUGGGUUGAUUCUGUCGCUGGAGUCUGUCUCAUCUACGAAAAAAUCGAGUCAUUAGAAUGAGAUUAGAGCAUUUUUUGUUUUUGGUAGCGAGGGAUGAUGUUGUGGGACCAGACCUUGCAGGUUUGGUGUCCACAUUCAGCUCCGUAGAUGAGGCAUGCUUCGCGGCAUGGCUCUUCGUGAGAAAUCGCGGAGGUCCAGGGUCAGUCCUAUCGGACGGAGUUUCUCGAGGCGCAUUUGUUUGUGUCCGCGCGGAGAGCUUCCGUUUUUCGGAAGCUCAAGCAUUGACAUAAAAAGAUGUGAUAUCCGCGUGUGCGAGAUCAGUCAUCUAGGACAGAUUCUAGAGCUAGAUCCGGUUGGCCCCUGUGAGUGGUGCUUUUUGUUGUGAUUCCUAUAGAGAUUUAGAGAUAUAUGUUCAUUGUGCUAUUUCCAUACUCGGUCGUGUUCUUCAUUUUUGCCUGCAUUCCCCACAACAAUAUUAGAAAAUUAAUUAAACAUUAAAAAAGAAAAAAAUCAAUCAUGAUUAUCACAGCUGAUGCCCGGAUGACAAGCUGAAUUGUACUUCAUUUUUGCUUUUAAGCAGCGGCAUCUUCCUGUUUUGCAGCUUGAUUUCUUACAGUUGCACCGCUCAUAUCCUUGCCCAGUUCCUACGGAUUGUUUGCGUACGGCUUCCCGAAUACUCAGUGUUACAUCAGGGACGUCAGUUGCGGCCAGCCCUCGAAAUUUGGAGAGUUCAAAGCCGUUCCUGGUGAACCACGUUUCAAUUAUUCCCGAUCGCGUGCCUACUUGAUAUUUGUCAUCUUUCACUUUUAAAACAACGCCGACCGUAUUUGCCGGAUAACCUCUUCCACGAUCAAAUUCCGGGAUAGGAAUAGCAACGCAAUCGCCAACUUGACACGCACCCAAUUUCUUGUUGGUUCGGUUCACCAUUUUCACCGCUUGUUUCUUCAAGUUUACGCUGGCUUUUCCUCUAGCAGCAAUCGCAGGAUGUUUUUCAGGGGCGGAGUCACUUUCCAUGGGCAAUUUUUCCGUUUGGGGCGCUUGGCUGGCGGAAACUUCGGGCUUUUCACGGGCGGAGUCACUGUCUAUGGGCAAUUUUUCCGUUUGGGGCGCUUGGCUGGCGGAAACUUCGGGCUUUUCACGGGCGGAGUCACUGUCCAUGGGCAAUUUUUCCGUUUGGGGCGCUUGGCUGGCGGAAACUUCGGGCUUUUCAGGGCCAGAGUCAGAAUCGACAGAUUGAGCAGCAUCAACUAUUUCUACCGGCAAAGUUUCAAUUUGAAUAAAUUGAGUGGGUGGUACUGCUGAGUUAUCAGGGACAACAUCCGGACAAGGUCUCUUACGAAGAGGUCCAUCGAUAGUGGUUUCAUCGGGCAUUUCAACAGGUAAAAAGGCAUCUACAGAAAUCCCAUCCUCGACCUCUACAAUUGCUUCGCUUUCAGCUGCAGAAAUCAUUUCCAUCAACUCCUCUUCCAAGGUUCCUGAGUUGAUUUUUUCUAAAAAGCAGGAGGGCAAAGAAGAACUUAAACUAAGUUUGGCUUUUUCUCCGAAAAGCGCUUCGUAGGGUUGCAUUUUAAUAGCUUCGUGGUAGCAAGUGUUCAAGUUCCAUUGCACGAGCCGCAGGCCAAGGCUCCAUGCGCUCGUCUUAUUAUCCCUCAUCCAGGCCGUGAGCGAUUCCUUUACUGCUGCAUUACCUCUUUCCACGGAACCCUGACUCUGAGGAUACCGAGGGCGUCCAUUGACGAGUACUAGUCCUGGCCAUAACUUUGCAAGCUCUUUGAUAAUAUUAGCGGUAAAUUCUCUUCCGUUGUCCGACUGCAAAACGUGCGGCGCAGCAAAAUCAAUGAAAAUGUAGAAGAGAUUUUGAGCAACUUCUGAUGCGGUUUUCGUUCUCAAUGGCCGCAGGAAACUGUAUUUUGUGAGAAAUUCCUUGUAAUGGAAAAUAUAUCGGUACUCCCCAUCCUGCAGGCUCUGCAUAUCAAUAAGAUCCACUUGUCCCCUCUGGUUCAAAGCAUUUGCUGUAAUUGGCUUUACAACAACUCCGGGGCCAGUUUCUUUUUUUUUUCAUCUUCUCCGUACACCUCUCACACCCUUAAAUAUACGCUGCAACAACAGACCGGGGUAUAUUUGCGUAAGUCUCGCAUAUUUUUGAAUAGGUUUUUUUUUUCACCUUUGUGGUUUAGGGACGUGUGGAUAUCUUCUAUUAUUUGAUAGGCUCUGGGUUUCGUGACCACCAGCAGACUAUCUUUUUUACGGGCUACUCUUUUCACACCCAGAAACUCGGUGAUUGAGUAAUUUUCUCUUGCGUGGUAGUAGGUUCUGGACCGUUUCAUCCCUGCAGCCGCCUGACAGCUCAGAUGAGCGAGAACAUCAGCUUCGUACGUCUCGUCCCAAAGCAAGGAACAUUUCUCAAUGGCUGUCAACGCUGCAGUGUUCAUGUUCAGUCAAAACAGGUCAAAAGGAAAACAAAAAGUUGAAGUGUCAGCUAAAAUUUGAAAAACCUGAAAAACAAAAAGAAACUUGGACUUUCCUCCCCUCUUGAUUUUCCUACCCUUCUUUAAAACACAUGAGGAGCAAAUGAUCUUUUCGAAAAUCCCACUUCGUUCAAUUUAAUUUGAUUUAAUUGUUUCAUUUCAUUUCAUUUCAUUUAUUUCUAAUAAAUUUAAUAGAAACAGGAAUCUAUAAGAGAAUGAAGAGAGGAAUAAAAACAAGAAAUAAAAAAGAAAAUAAAAAAUUGUGACUAUUUUAAAAUUUAAAUGAACCGGCAACAUUGUGCCGUCGUCUCAUUAAAAGA